GCGCAAAGGACAUUGUCUCUGCUUUUGUUGCCAAUAGAUUGUUUUAUACAUCUCCCGGACUUAUCAAACUCUUCCCAAACAGAAGAUUAUGUCUGCCCUUAAACUUGGUCUUGCGUCUGUACGGAGACUCCCUUCUACUAUCGCCGGACAUGCCGCCCAAAAGAUGUUAGAAGCAAUGGAUACGCUGCCUGCUUUUGGACCAAGUCAGUUCAGCAUCUUCGGGGUA